GGGAUUGCCCUAGUAACGGCGAGUGAAGCGGCAACAGCUCAAAUUUGAAAUCUGGCUCUUUCAGGGUCCGAGUUGUAAUUUGCAGAGGGCGCUUUGGCGUUGGCAGCGGUCCAAGUUCUUUGGAACAGGACGUCACAGAGGGUGAGAAUCCCGUACGUGGUCGCUAGCCUUCGCCGUGUAAAGCCCCUUCGACGAGUCGAGUUGUUUGGGAAUGCAGCUCUAAAUGGGAGGUAAAUUUCUUCUAAAGCUAAAUACUGGCCAGAGACCGAUAGCGCACAAGUAGAGUGAUCGAAAGAUGAAAAGCACUUUGGAAAGAGAGUCAAAUAGCACGUGAAAUUGUUGAAAGGGAAGCGCUUGCAGCCAGACUUGCCUGUAGUUGCUUAUCCGGACUUUUGUCCGGUGCACUCUUCUGCGGGCAGGCCAGCAUCAGUUUGGGCGGUUGGAUAAAGGUCUCUGUCAUGUACCUCCUUUCGGGGAGGCCUUAUAGGGGAGACGACAUGCAACCAGCCUGGACUGAGGUCCGCGCAUCUGCUAGGAUGCUGGCGUAAUGGCUGUAAGCGGCCCGUCUUGAAACACGGACCAAGGAGUCUAACAUCUAUGCGAGUGUUUGGGUGUCAAGCCCAGACGCGUAAUGAAAGUGAACGGAGGUGGGAACCUUUUAGGUGCACCAUCGACCGAUCCUGAUGUCUUCGGAAGGAUUUGAGUAAGAGCAUGGCUGUUGGGACCCGAAAGAUGGUGAACUAUGCUUGAAUAGGGUGAAGCCAGAGGAAACUCUGGUGGAGGCUCGCAGCGGUUCUGACGUGCAAAUCGAUCGUCAAAUUUGGGCAUAGGGGCG
rnacentral:rRNA from 1 species